ensembl:lncRNA
UAGAGCUCUGGAAGGUAGACCACUGCAUUACUUACGUCUGAACAACUGCUCACUUAGAAAGAACAGAGGGAGUACCUGAAACUCUCAUAAUGUCUAAGAUAAAUGCAUGGAGUAGAUACUUGGGGUGGGGAAGAGAUGGAGUGCUCUGAAGAAAAAGAGAUGUGGGGGCGGCGCACAUUUCUGUGCUACUAAUAGAUGUGAAUUCAAGGCAGUCUUUUGGGAAGGGAACAUGUACUCAGACCAUCUUGGAGGAGGAAAGUGAACAUAACUGUUCUGCAGGCUAGAGGUAGGUGUUGAAAUUUGGAGAAAAGCUCAGAUUUAAUGCAUUCCCCAGUCUUCACUGUUCUGUUUUUAUCAAGCUUACCCACCUGACUGUUUAGAUGUUUCCAGCACUGUUUUAAUGGUUUGGGGAAAUGCUGCACAGUUAGCGAGGUAUCUAACUUGGAUGUCCUAAAAUCUGAGACUUGAUAUUCAAACACGAUGUCACUGGCAUUAUGACAGGUAAUUCGCUUUUACAGAUCAGUCUGAAAACCAAUUAAGUUUUGAAACAUUCUGCUCAGUGUUGAGUGCAAAGAAUCGAAGGUAAUGGAGACUUAAGACUUCCUCUGAGUCAGAACAGGAUAACAGAGAAACUGGAAAAAGUCUACUUCUGCUGUAAGAUGGGACAAUAAUUUAUGAAAAAUGUAGGUCUUUGUGAAACAGAAUUUAGAGAUUAUUGGAGAUAAAUGCUUACUAAAAUUUAACAGUCACACUUCCUUUUUUUGUUUGUUUGUAUCUUAGCACAGUUGCAAUGAAAUACAUUUUGUUUUCUUUCUUCUUAAUAGUUAGGAAUAUGAUUAUAUGAUUAUCCCUCAGAGAAAAUCUUUCAAAUAAACUGCAUAAAAACACUUCUUCUGAGACAGUGGUGUCUUUGAACUAUUGCCUGAGCAUGUUAAUGUGCUUCUGUAUCUGUAGAUAAGGAUAGAAGAGUGUGGUCAGAGAGGCCAGUGUUGUUUACAAAGACACUCUGGGGACUAAUAAACAACCUAUUCACUAAUAUAAAUCAAGAGUUGGUAAAUUAAAGAAUAAAAUCUCCUUCACAGGAAUGAAGAAAGCACCAGAUAUCAAUGGAAUUACAUUUGGUGCACUUAUGUAUUAUUCAAUAGACUAUAGGGAAUGUAGUAAUCAGUUUUGAAGAGAAUGAGAUUUGUCCAGAUGAAUCUUUUAAAGAUAUUCUAAGUAUUUUUCACCACCUUAGCAUCUCCAGCUGCAGAGCUGUGAUCACAGGAAAUCAGAAAAAAUAAUCAAAUACACCUUAUAAUUCCAGAAACACUUGGGAAAAUAAAGCCAGUUAAAUAAUGUAGAAAUAUAGUAAUCUAACAUGUAAAUAGAUUUCAAAAUAAUUCCACUUCUGAACCUACUUAUUUACACAGUCAAUGAGCUUGUCCACUCAAAUGGAAUAAUUCAAGCUUACUUAUUAUCAAAGUAAGUAGCAUUGUCUGCUGAACAGUAAGUAUAAUAAAAGAAGAUUUCGCCUCAGGCUGGUACUGCACCAUCCUCAUAGCUUUAGCUCACAGUAUGCACAUACAUAUAGUCAUGCUAAAUACACUUAUGUUGUCCAUUGUAUUCAUAUAUUAAAUUCUGGUGCUUGAAGUCUUCAAUAUGUUUUUUUAAAAAAAAGAACUAUAAGAAGAAUAUGAAAAAAAAUAAAAAAUGAUAUUUUCUUUCCCAUGUGUUGAUCUGCAAUUUUGUUUACAGCAACAAGGGUUUCUUUUUUGAGGUGUAAAUAUAGCCUAAUCUUUAGGUAUCGUUUAAAAAAUGUAAAAUGAAGUUAUGUACAAGGACUAGGAAUAAUUUUCCUCUGAAUUUCCACAUCUUAUCCUAAAGAUUGAAUAAGAUGAAUCAACGCUUUUUGCAAACUCUUUCCUUCCUACUCUCAAUUUUUACUUCUUCAUCUCGUUAUGAUUCAAAAUAACAAAUUUUACCAUAAAUGGGGAAACAUUUAACAUGAAAAACAAUAAACAAUGAAACAAAUGACACAGUACAUACCAAUGUAGGACAGAUCCAUCAAUACCAAGCCGCCUCUUGCAAAUAUAACUUUUUGUUGCUGUUGCUUUGUUACGUUUUUGCUUCUCCUAAGCUUGCUCACUAGUUUUGAUAACAGAAUUCUUUGAAACUGAAAACAGAAUCAGGCAUGGAAAGUUAAGAUUUCAAUUCAGAUUUUGAAGUGAAAUAUGGUGUGGAGUUAUGAGAGACUUAUACCUUUUACUUCAUAGUAUUUAGAGGAAACAAAUAGUAAGAAAAACAGAGUUAGCAACAGAAAUGGUACAAAGCAGAGAAAAUAUAUGCUAACAUUCAUUCCUCCUGACUACCAUGGAUUGACUGUUGUUAACAGAUGUGAUUAUUCUGUUCAUCUCUUAAAAUGAUCCAGAUUAAAGUGUUCAUUUUUUUCCCUUUUCAAUUAACUAACAAAAUACCCUCAAAAAAACAUUUGCAUUUCUGAAGGUUUUGUCUUAGGAUAUUAUCUAAGAAAUAGAUGUAGGGAUGUAGGUGUAGAACCUUCCAGACAAUAAUGCAAAUUUGAAACAUCUUCACAGACACACUGAGAAAUCAGUUCUCUGCCUGCUGCUUCACCAAAUAUUGGAUAUUUUCUACCUGCAACCUUUUUAAGGAUUAUGACAUUCUAAAGAAGCAUUUUAUGACAUUGUUCAAACAUUUUUAUUCCAUUUCUUGGCAUAUCUAGUAAACUGUUCCAUGACGAAUCAUUACUUUCUUGUAUUUCCAUUAGACACUGACAUGCCACUGAGAUACGAAAUUAAAAAAAAAAAAAAAAAAAAAAAAAA